CCUACGGGAGGCAGCAGUGGGGGAUAUUGCACAAUGGGGGCAACCCUGACGCAGCAACGCCGCGUGGUUGAAGAAGGCCCUCGGGUCGUAAAGCUCUUUAAUCGGGGACGAAUAUGACGGUAACUCGAAGAAUAAGCCCCGGCUAAUUACGGGCCAGCAGCCGCGGUAAUACGUAGGUGGCAAGCGUUGUCCGGAUUUCCUGGGUGUAAAGGGCGUGCAGCCGGCGAGACAAGCCAGAGGUGAAAUCCAGGGACUCAACCCGGGACCUGCAUUUGAACCUGUUGACCGUGAGAGUCGGAGGGGCAAUCGGAAUUGCUUGUGUAGCGGUGAAAUGCGUAGAUAUAAGGAAGAACACCGGUGGCGAAGGCGGACUACUGGACGGUAACUGACGUUGAGGCGCGAAAGCGUGGGGAGCAAACAGGAUUAGAUACCCGGGUAGUC
rnacentral:rRNA from 1 species